rnacentral:rRNA from 1 species
AGAGUUUGAUCCUGGCUCAGGACGAACGCUGGCGGCGUGCCUAACACAUGCAAGUCGAGCGAGGAAUGUCGGAUAGCUUGCUAUUUGAUAUUUCUAGCGGCGGACGGGUGAGUAACGCGUGAGCAACCUGCCUUUAUCAGGGGGAUAACGCAUCGAAAGAUGUGCUAAUACCGCGUAAGACCACAGCUUCACAUGGAGCAGGGGUCAAAGGAGCAAUCCGGAUAAAGAUGGGCUCGCGUCCGAUUAGCUAGUUGGUGAGAUAACAGCCCACCAAGGCGACGAUCGGUAGCCGACCUGAGAGGGUGAUCGGCCACAUUGGAACUGAGAGACGGUCCAGACUCCUACGGGAGGCAGCAGUGGGGAAUAUUGGGCAAUGGGCGAAAGCCUGACCCAGCAACGCCGCGUGAGGGAAGAAGGGUUUCGGCUCGUAAACCUCUGUCCUAUGGGACGAAGGAAGUGACGGUACCAUAGGAGGAAGCCCCGGCUAACUACGUGCCAGCAGCCGCGGUAAUACGUAGGGGGCGAGCGUUGUCCGGAAUGAUUGGGCGUAAAGGGCGCGUAGGCGGCCUGCUAAGUCUGAAGUGAAAGUCCUGCUUUCAAGGUGGGAAGUGCUUUGGAUACUGGUGGGCUGGAGUGCAGGAGAGGAAAGCGGAAUUACCGGUGUAGCGGUGAAAUGCGUAGAGAUCGGUAGGAACACCAGUGGCGAAGGCGGCUUUCUGGACUGAAACUGACGCUGAGGCGCGAAAGCGUGGGGAGCAAACAGGAUUAGAUACCCUGGUAGUCCACGCGGUAAACGAUGAAUGCUAGGUGUAGGAGGUAUCGACCCCUUCUGUGCCGCAGUAAACACAAUAAGCAUUCCGCCUGGGGAGUACGGCCGCAAGGUUGAAACUCAAAGGAAUUGACGGGGGCCCGCACAAGCAGCGGAGCAUGUGGUUUAAUUCGAAGCAACGCGAAGAACCUUA